rnacentral:tRNA from 1 species
UCUCUGAUGGUCUAGUGGCUAUGCUUCAGCACUCUCACUGCUGUGGCCUGGAUUUGAUUCCCACUCAGGGAA